GCUAUACAUGCAGUCGAGCGAACAGAAGGGAGCUUGCUCCCGGAUGUUAGCGGCGGACGGGUGAGUAACACGUGGGUAACCUGCCUGUAAGACUGGGAUAACUCCGGGAAACCGGAGCUAAUACCGGAUAGUUCCUUGAACCGCAUGGUUCAAGGAUGAAAGACGGUUUCGGCUGUCACUUACAGAUGGACCCGCGGCGCAUUAGCUAGUUGGUGGGGUAAUGGCUCACCAAGGCGACGAUGCGUAGCCGACCUGAGAGGGUGAUCGGCCACACUGGGACUGAGACACGGCCCAGACUCCUACGGGAGGCAGCAGUAGGGAAUCUUCCGCAAUGGACGAAAGUCUGACGGAGCAACGCCGCGUGAGUGAUGAAGGUUUUCGGAUCGUAAAGCUCUGUUGUUAGGGAAGAACAAGUGCGAGAGUAACUGCUCGCACCUUGACGGUACCUAACCAGAAAGCCACGGCUAACUACGUGCCAGCAGCCGCGGUAAUACGUAGGUGGCAAGCGUUGUCCGGAAUUAUUGGGCGUAAAGGGCUCGCAGGCGGUUUCUUAAGUCUGAUGUGAAAGCCCCCGGCUCAACCGGGGAGGGUCAUUGGAAACUGGGAAACUUGAGUGCAGAAGAGGAGAGUGGAAUUCCACGUGUAGCGGUGAAAUGCGUAGAGAUGUGGAGGAACACCAGUGGCGAAGGCGACUCUCUGGUCUGUAACUGACGCUGAGGAGCGAAAGCGU
rnacentral:rRNA from 1 species